ACUUUGAAUCUGAUCACAUCUUAUCACCAUUGUUGUCACCAACUGAGUCCAAGCUAUCAUGAGCUCUUGCCUGGACUGCCACUGUCACCUCUAGCUGGUAUUCAGCUUCCCUUCCUGCCCCCUGCCAUCUGCUGCCCAUACAGCAAACAGAAUGAACUUUAAAGUUCUUGCCAUUGUCCUCAGGGCCCUCCUCCGUGGUUUGGCCUCUGCUUCCUAUCCAGUCCGUUUCCUACCCCACUUCCCUCACUUACUACUUCCCAGCCCAUCAUGUCUUCUUGCUGGUCCUCAAAUGAAGUUUGGUUUUAUAUAUCGUAAAUACAGAAUUUUAUAAUCACUGAGUGAAUGAAAGUCACUUAUAUUCUAAUUUGACCAUAGUGGCUCAUUAUGGCAUAAUUUUAAUGAAAAUCCACAGGUUUUUUUUUUUACUUUUGGAUUAGUCUGAAUGAGAUAAAAAUGGCAACAAGAAUACAGCUUUCAGAAUUAUGGCGGGUAAAAAAGUAAAAUUGCUUGCUUUCCGGUAACUAUUUAUAUAUCAGUAUUAUAGCCAAUACUUUAAGUUUUUUCAUUGUUGAGAAGAGAGUAAUACCAAAAUUUUGUUUAAUAAUAUCAUUAAAUAGGAAUGCCAGUGGGUCAUAUAAAUCAGCACUUUUAAAUACAAUACCUCGAGAUAAAAGUAUUCCAUUGUUAUACGUAUUAUAAGAAAAGUAGUAUCAGUACUACACUUAGACUCAGGCAAGAGGUAGUCUGCGCUUUGGAAAACCUUGUUCUGGUCUUCUUCAAGCUACACCCAUUUCUAUGAGACAAGAGAGGAGCCCAUGCAGAACCCGCAGACUUCUUUCCCUCAGGACCCCAGACUUCCCAAUGUCAGGGCCCAGGCAGCCUCCUCCCUGGGUCCAUCUUCUGGAGGGUGAGCCAUACUGUCUCCAUGCACUCCUCUAAGCUCAAAGGGUGCUGUUAGCGGCGGGUGUGGAUAGAACUUUGAUGUAUGGUCUGGGCUGUCCACACAUGCUCACGCAGUCCCUCACGAUCAGGGUUGGAAAGAGAAGAGAAGCCCCAUGCCAUUACAAGCUGGCAGAACAACGAGGAGCCUGGCUACUAGGUCUUUAUGAAGGGAAGAAGAUAGAAAGUAUUUAGCAGUUUGUUACCUUAAUGUAUACCUGAUAAAUAUAGAAACACAUAUGGUAUGAGGCCCCCAUUUGUACUGUUGCCUGGAGGCCUGCAAAGUGGAUGGCCUGAGAGAUACAGGCCCACUGCAAAAUAAAUAAAACCUUUGGCAUAAGUUGGUCUUUAGUUUCAACCUGAGUAAAUCAAAACUCUGAAAUUAAAAGCCUGAGGCUUUCUACCCACAAACUCAAAACUGAGCCCAACAUACAAAAAUCCAAUCCUGUGUUAAAAAA
rnacentral:lncRNA from 1 species